GGCAGCCGCAGCCGCGAAGGAGCAGCGGGGCGGAGCGGAGCGGGGCGGGGCCGGGA
rnacentral:miRNA from 14 species